GGGCAGAGGGCGCAGCCAGUCCGGGGCCCCCUAGCUCAUCUCCCCAUCUCACCCGCCGGCCUGGAGGGCCGUGGGGGAGCGCGCCGCGCUCUGCGUCUCUUCGAGCUCUUUCUGCCGGGCCGGAAUGCAGGAGUCACAAAUUGAUUCAAAUAGGUUUACAAAUUUAAAAAAGAAGCUUGACAACCACUUAACCUGUUAAAGGAUACUACAGGAGUGGCAGAGAAUUCCUCAAUUCUUCUGCUUCUGUGCUGCCAGGGCUAAAAGCUGCUUGCAUUGUAAAUAACCAGGAAAAAGGAACAGAUUUCCAGGUGGUUGAUGAUGUGUGGUUGAGAAAAGAGCCUCAAGAAGUUCCAGAGGUGGAGGCUUUAAUGGAAUUUUUCCCAGAGUAAAUUUCUUGGAUUGAAAUUGUUCCAGUUCUUCUACUGUUAGUUUAUCUCUGGGUGUGAAUAACACAUUAUCUGUUGCAAUGAUGCUGCUUGAGGCUGACAGAGAAGUGGAUAUGCUGCUAUUUCCAAAAGUGUCACUGGAUGGCUUAGAAAAAGCAGUGUGAGAAUGUGAGCCCGGACUACCAAAACCAGCCACAGAACUGCCACCUCCAAAGGCUGGGGCCACUGGAGCUCUGACAGGACCUGUUGCCAAGGAAGCUGGAAGUCCUGAAAAUCCAGGUGAUCCAAAACUGGAAGCUGCAGGGCUUUUGAAUGAAAAUGAUGCAGCCGAUGUGACUUCAGGCUUCCCAAAUCCAAAAGCUGGAGCAGAAGUAGAGAUACCUGAACUGGUAGAGGCUGCAGCUCCAAAUGCUGGGGAACUCCCAAAACCAGCAGGGCUUCCAGAAGAGGCAGCAGCAAAUCCAGAGUUUGUUUUAAAACUAAAGUUCUGAGCAUUAUCACUGCUGCUGUUAUUGACUGGAAAGCCUACAAACAACAACAACAACAAAAAAAACAACAAAAA
ensembl:lncRNA Novel transcript, antisense to NUPL2